rnacentral:rRNA from 1 species
ACGACUGCUAAGACUGGAUAGGAGACAAGAAGGCAUCUUCUUAUUUUUAAAAGACCUAGCAAUAGGUAUGCUUAGGGAGGAGCUUGCGUCACAUUAGUUAGUUGGUGGGGUAAAGGCCUACCAAGACUAUGAUGUGUAGCCGGGCUGAGAGGUUGAACGGCCACAUUGGGACUGAGACACGGCCCAAACUCCUACGGGAGGCAGCAGUAGGGAAUUUUCGGCAAUGGAGGAAACUCUGACCGAGCAACGCCGCGUGAACGAUGAAGUAUUUCGGUACGUAAAGUUCUUUUAUUAGGGAAGAAUAAAUGAUGGAAAAAUCAUUCUGACGGUACCUAAUGAAUAAGCCCCGGCUAACUAUGUGCCAGCAGCCGCGGUAAUACAUAGGGGGCAAGCGUUAUCCGGAAUUAUUGGGCGUAAAGGGUGCGUAGGCGGUUAAAUAAGUUUAUGGUCUAAGUGCAAUGCUCAACAUUGUGAUGCUAUAAAAACUGUUUAGCUAGAGUAAGAUAGAGGCAAGUGGAAUUCCAUGUGUAGUGGUAAAAUGCGUAAAUAUAUGGAGGAACACCAGUAGCGAAGGCGGCUUGCUGGGUCUUUACUGACGCUGAGGCACGAAAGCGUGGGGAGCAAACAGGAUUAGAUACCCUGGUAGUCCACGCCGUAAACGAUGAGUACUAAACGUUGGGUAAAACCAGUGUUGAAGUUAACACAUUAAGUACUCCGCCUGAGUAGUACGUACGCAAGUAUGAAGCUUAAAGGAAUUGACGGGACUCCGCACAAGCGGUGGAUCAUGUUGUUUAAUUCGAAGGUACCCGAAAAACCUCACCAGGUCUUGACAUGCUUCUGCAAAGCUGUAGAAACACAGUGGAGGUUAUCAGUUGCACAGGUGGUGCAUGGUUGUCGUCAGCUCGUGUCGUGAGAUGUUGGGUUAAGUCCCGCAACGAGCGCAACCCUUAUUGUUAGUUACCAGCACGUAAUGGUGGGGACUUUAGCAAGACUGCCAGUGAUAAAUUGGAGGAAGGUGGGGACGACGUCAAAUCAUCAUGCCCCUUAUGACCUGGGCUACAAACGUGAUACAAUGGCUGUUACAAAGGGUAGCUGAAGCGCAAGUUUUUGGCGAAUCUCAAAAAAACAGUCUCAGUUCGGAUUGAAGUCUGCAACUCGACUUCAUGAAGUUGGAAUCGCUAGUAAUCGCGAAUCAGCAUGUCGCGGUGAAUACGUUCUCGGGGUUUGUACACACCGCCCGUCA